rnacentral:rRNA from 1 species
AGGACGAACGCUGGCGGCGUGCUUAACACAUGCAAGUCGAGCGGAAAGGCCUUUCGGGGUACUCGAGCGGCGAACGGGUGAGUAACACGUGAGUAAUCUGCCCAUCGCUUCAGGAUAGCCAUCGGAAACGGUGAUUAAUACUGGAUAUGACAUUCCUUCGCAUGUUGGGGUGUGGAAAGUUUUUUCGGCGGUGGAUGUGCUCGCGGCCUAUCAGUCUUGUUGGUGGGUAAUGGCCUACCAAGGCUUUGACGGGUAGCCGGCUGGAGAGGGGUGACCGGCCACGACGUGGGACUGACGACACGGCCCAGACUCCGUACGGGAGCAGACGAGGUGGGAAUAUUGGACAAGUGGGACGGAAGCUGAUCCGAGCAACGCCGCGUAGGAGGUA